UGAACUGUUAGGUGAGACUCCUACGUGAACACACGCUAUCGCCCAGGAACAUCCAGAGAUGCCAACGGGUCAAACAGGUAUUGUCGAGUUAAGGCACUAUCCAGAUAGCUAGCAUGUGCUUACGUCACGUAGUGUUAAAACUGAACGAUUGGUU
rnacentral:sRNA from 1 species